rnacentral:rRNA from 1 species
UUCCGUAGGUGAACCUGCGGAAGGAUCAUUAAUUAUCAAUGCUGUAGCUCCCUUGGGGGUUACUGCACUCACCCUUUGUCUACGUGUACCUCUUGUUGUUUCCUCGGCAGGCAAUCUGUCCGCCGUCCGGAAUCAGUAAACUCUUGUAUUUAUAGUAUUAAAAUCUCUGAUAACUAUUUAAAUUAUUACAACUUUUAACAAUGGAUCUCUUGGUUCUGGCAUCGAUGAAGAACGCAGCGAAAUGCGAAAAGUAGUGUGAAUUGCAGAAUUCCGUGAAUCAUCGAAUCUUUGAACGCACAUUGCGCCCCUCGGUAUUCCGUGGGGCAUGCCUGUUCGAGCGUCAUUUACACCCUCAAGCUCUGCUUGGUGUUGAGCGCCUGUCUCGCUUUCUGCGUAGACUCGCUCUAAAGUCAUUGGCAGCGGUCGUGCCAACUUCUCGCGCAGCACAUUUGCGCUUCUUGAGGUUUUGGUGGAUUAGCAUCCAGUAAGCUCUUUUAUGACUUGACCUCGGAUCAGGUAGGGAUACCCGCUGAAC